AACGAACGCUGGCGGCAUGCCUAACACGUGCAAGUCGAACGAGACCUUCGGGUCUAGUGGCGCACGGGUGCGUAACGCGUGGGAACCUGCCCUUAGGUUCGGAAUAACUCUCCGUAAGGGGUGCUAAUACCGGAUAAUGUCCUCGGACCAAAGAUUUAUCGCCCUUGGAUGGGCCCGCGUUGGUUUAGCUAGUGGGUAGGGUAAAAGCCUACCAAGGCGACGAUCCAUAGCUGGUCUGAGAGGAUGGUCAGCGACACUGGGGCUAGGACACGGCCCAGACUCCUACGGGAGGCAGGAGUGGGGAAUACUGGAAUAUGGGCGAAAGCCUGAUCCAGCAAGGCCGCGUGAGUGAUGAAGGCCGUAGGGUUGUAAAGCUCUUUUACCCGGGAUGAUAAUGACGGUACCGGGAGAAUAAGCUCCGGCUAACUCCGUG
rnacentral:rRNA from 1 species